rnacentral:rRNA from 1 species
GCUACGGGUGGCAGCAGUGAGGAAUCUUGGUCAAUGGCCGAGAGGCUGAACCAGCCAAGUCGCGUGAGGGAAGACGGCCCUACGGGUGGUAAACCUCUUUUGUCGGGGAGCAAAGCGAGUCACGUGUGACUCCUUGAGAGUACCCGAAGAAAAAGCAUCGGCUAACUCCGUGCCAGCAGCCGCGGUAAUACGGAGGAUGCGAGUGUUAUCCGGAUUUAUUGGGUUGAAAGGGUGCGAAGGCGGAGGUGAAAGUCUGUGGCUCAACCAGAGAAUUGCCGUUGAAACUGGAGGGCUUGAGUAUGUAUGAGGAGGGCGGAAUGCGUGGUGUAGCGGUGAAAUGCGUAGAUAUCACGCAGAACCCCGGUUGCGAAGGCAGCCUGCCAGGCCAUGACUGACGCUGAUGCACGAAAGCGUGGGGAUCAAACAGGAUUAGAUACCCGUGUAGUC